CAGAACUGAAAGGAGCUUCUAGAACCAGACAACCUGGGUUCAAACAUCGAUUCUGCCACUUACUGUGUGGCUCUGGGCUCAUCCAGUUUGACCACAUGGCUUGAAGCUUUGUCAGAGUUUCCUCUUGGUGACAGUGUUGCUCCAGAAAUGCCAAGACGCCCGCCAACCCUCACACCACCCCCAUCGACGCCCGGUCUCCUCUCCCGCCCUUCGGGUCUGAAAAAAAACGCCAGAAAACCUCCAGAAAGGAAGUUGUGCAGCUGCUAGUAUUUAUCUUUGAGAGAGAGAAAGAGCACGUGUGC